AUUACUCACCACGUUCGCAGCUUCUUUCAGACCUUAUUCCAGAAAUGUGAGGUCAUCAGGGAAGGAGGAGGAAACUGGAAGAGCCUGAGCAAGCAAGGUCGGAUCCUGGUCGGUCGGCCAAUGAGGGAGCAGUUCUUAUCGUCUAUGGUCGAGUAUCGCCCAUCCUCCCCGAGUCUCCUGCAGAUGGCCUGGAGAUUCUGAAUGCCAUUUCCGCAGGUAUGGGACACAAUGAAUGGAGAAACAGGGAUGAGAAAAGUUGUGAUGUCAUCAACACAUGUGUGUGUGAUAGGCUGGGUACUUACGUUGGCUCCUCCGUCACUGUGAUCUCCUCCUCCAGCUCUAUCGCCUGCUUAUGCCACACAGGUUUCGCCUCAACUGGGAGCGUAUCUGGAGCAAAUGACCCAGAAAAGACAAUGGAAACACAACUUUUUUGACAAAUCGGCAAAGUUUAGAGGUUCAGACGUGACCACAAUGGCUUACCCAUGGACUUGUA